rnacentral:rRNA from 1 species
AUUGAACGCUGGCGGCAUGCUUAACACAUGUAAGUCGAACGGCAGCGCGGGAAAGCUUGCUUUCCUGGCGGCGAGUGGCGGACGGGUGAGUAAUACUUAGGAAUCUGCCCACUAGUGGGGGAUAGCCCGGGGAAACUCGGAUUAAUACCGCAUAAGCCCUACGGGGGGAAGCUGGGGACCCAGCACCAUAGCCUUUUGGCAACCGAUCAAGGCGAGAAGAAGCUAUGGUGCUGGGGCCCUGGCGCUAGUGGAUGAGCGUAAGUCCUAUCAGCUA